GAUGAACGCUGGCGGCGUGCUUAACACAUGCAAGUCGAACGGAAAGGCCCAAGCUUGCUUGGGUACUCGAGUGGCGAACGGGUGAGUAACACGUGGGUGAUCUGCCCUGCACUUCGGGAUAAGCCUGGGAAACUGGGUCUAAUACCGGAUAGGACCACAUUUUGGAUGGUGUGGUGGAAAGUUUUUCGGUGUGGGAUGAGCUCGCGGCCUAUCAGCUUGUUGGUGGGGUAAUGGCCUACCAAGGCGUCGACGGGUAGCCGGCCUGUGAGGGGGUACGGCCACAUUGGGACUGAGAGACGGCCCAGACUCCUACGGGGGGCAGCAGUGGGGAAUAUUGCACAAUGGGCGCAAGCCUGAGGCAGCGACGCCGCGUGGGGGAUGACGGCCUUCGGGUUGUAAACUCCUUUCGCUAGGGACGAAGCGUUUUUGUGACGGUACCUGGAGAAGAAGCACCGGCUAACUACGUG
rnacentral:rRNA from 1 species